UACAGAGGUCCCGAGCGUUGUUCGGAUUCACUGGGCGUAAAGCGCACGUAGGCGGAUUUGUAAGUCAGGGGUGAAAUCCCGGGGCUCAACCUCGGAACUGCCUUUGAUACUGCGAAUCUUGAGUCCGAUAGAGGUGGGUGGAAUUCCUAGUGUAGAGGUGAAAUUCGUAGAUAUUCGGAAGAACACCAGUGCGAAGGCGGCUCACUGGCCCGGUACUGACGCUGAGGUGCGAAAGCGUGGGGAG
rnacentral:rRNA from 1 species